GCCUUCGUGGUGUAGUGGUUAGCACAUUCGAAUGGUAACUGAGAGGUCCGUGGUUCGAUUCCCGGCGAACGCG
rnacentral:tRNA from 1 species